UACAAAUAAUUAUUCAUAAAUUUGCACAUUCUUUGUAUAUUCUUUGGAACUUACUAUGGGUCCCUAGAUAUCAAUGACAUGAGUGACGCUGCUGCAGACUCAGAAUUCUCUUUUGAGCAAGGUAUGUGUUUAGAGGGAUCUCAUGACUUUGAAGAUGACAUAGAUUGUAGCCUAUUUCUGGACUUGUUAAGGAUGGUAGAACAAGUCGAG
rnacentral:lncRNA from 1 species